GUGGGGAAUUUUGGACAAUGGGGGCAACCCUGAUCCAGCCAUGCCGCGUGCGGGAAGAAGGCCUUCGGGUUGUAAACCGCUUUUGUCAGGGAAGAAAUCCUUUGGGUUAAUACCUCGGAGGGAUGACGGUACCUGAAGAAUAAGCACCGGCUAACUACGUGCCAGCAGCCGCGGUAAUACGUAGGGUGCGAGCGUUAAUCGGAAUUACUGGGCGUAAAGCGUGCGCAGGCGGUUUUGUAAGACAGUGGUGAACUCCCCGGGCUCAACCUGGGAACUGCCAUUGUGACUGCAAGGCUAGAGUGCGGCAGAGGGGGAUGGAAUUCCGCGUGUAGCAGUGAAAUGCGUAGAUAUGCGGAGGAACACCGAUGGCGAAGGCAAUCCCCUGGGCCUGCACUGACGCUCAUGCACGAAAGCGUGGGGAGCAAACAGGAUUAGAUACCCCAGUAGUCC
rnacentral:rRNA from 1 species